AUUGAACGCUGGCGGCGGGCCUAACACAUGCAAGUCGAGCGGAGCGGCGGAGGGGUGAGUAAUGCCUAGGAAUAUGCCUGGUGGUGUGGGAUAACGUCCGAAAACGGGCACUAAUACCGAAUACUAUCAGAUUAGACUAGGUCGUAUUAGCUAGUUGGUGGGGUAGAGGCCUACCAAGGCGACGAUACGUACCUGGUCGGAGAGGAGGAUCAGUCACACGGGAACGGAGACACGGUCCAGAUUCCUCCGGGAGGAAGCAGUGGGGAAUAUUGGACAAGGGGCGAAGGCCUGCUGAAGCCAUGCGGGGUGUGUGAAGAAGUUCUUCGGUUUGUAAAGCACUUUAAGCGGGGAGGCGUUACCAACAGAAUAAGCACCGGCUAACUACGUGCCAGCAGCCGCGGUAAUUC
rnacentral:rRNA from 1 species